GAUGAACGCUAGCGGCAGGCUUAAUACAUGCAAGUCGAGGGACAGCACAGGUAGCAAUACUGGGUGGUAACCGGCAAACGGGUGCGGAACACGUACACAACCUUCUUUUAAGUGGGGGAUAGCCCUGAGAAAUUUGGAUUAAUACCCCGUAAUAUAGUUGAAUGGCAUUAUUUGAUUAUUAUAGCUACGGCGCUUAAUGAUGGGUGUGCGGAUGAUUAGAUAGUGGGCGGGGUAACGGCCCACCAAGUCUACGAUCAGUAGCUGAUGUGAGAGCAUGAUCAGCCAAGCGGGCACUGAGACACGGGCCCGACUCCUACGGGAGGCAGCAGUAAGGAAUAUUGGUAAAUGGACGCAAGUCUGAACCAGCCAUGCCGCGUGAAGGAUUAAGGUCCUCUGGAUUGUAAACUUCUUUUAUUUGGGACGAAAAAGGGCCUUUCUAGGUCAACUGACGGUACCAGAUGAAUAAGCACCGGCUAACUCCGUGCCAGCCGCCGCAGUAAUAC
rnacentral:rRNA from 1 species